rnacentral:rRNA from 1 species
UAAGACAUUUAUAAUUAGGUAGUAAAGAUAACUCUGAAACCUAAAGAACUUGGCGGUGUUUUAAAUAAUUGGAGGAACCUGUUAUUUAAUUGAAAAUCCACAACAAAUCUUACCUUAUUUUUGUUUGUAUAUCGUUGUUAAGACAAUAUUUUUUAGUAUAGUCAGUAAUAAUAUAUUUUUAAAAAUCAAAUCAAGGUGCAGCAUAAUAGGGUUAUAAUGGGUUACAUUACAUGUAAUGUAAACGGAAAUAAACUGAAAACCUACAUGAAGGUGGAUUCAAAAGUAAUUGAAAAGUAAAAAGUUUUAAUGAAUUAGUUUUAAAACAUGC